AUGUUAUUGCUGCUGCUGUCACCUUUACAUGAAAAUAAAAUGUAAAUUAUUUUAUUUCUAUCAAAUAAGGACUAGUCUGCAGUGAUAU
ensembl:miRNA